GUGGUCGAUGAAUCUUUUUCCGGCAGCCGGCGUCCAUUUUCCUCUCUGCUUGUCUGUAGUUGGCGCGUUUCUUAUUUAUGAAAGCUUUGAUAUUAAAUUAAUAUAAAAAGAUUAUUAAAAUAUAAUGGAAGGUGCUCCAAGUGGCAGGGGCGGAUUUAAGGGUCGUGGAGGUCCUGGUGGUCCGAUGAGAGGACGUGGUGGUUUUGGAGAUAGAGGAAGGGGUGGUCCUCCAAGAGGAGGUAGUAUGAUGCGAGGAGGUCGUGGUAGUGGACCUGGUGGUGGAAUGAGAUGCGGUCCACCUGGUAUCAGAGGUAGAGGAGGUCCUCCUGGUAGAGGUGGACGUGGUCAUUUUCCAGGUGGUCCUCCAGAACCAGGAAUGGCUGGUGGUCCCGGUGGUGGACCUCCACCUCCAGGUUUAGGUGGUCCUCCAAGAGGAGGAAGCAGAGGAGGAGGAAGCAGCGGUUUCCGUGGUAGAGGUAGAGGAGAUUUUGGUAGAGGAGACAGUCGUACUCCAAAUAGUAGUUUCCGUGGACGUGGUGGUAUGGACAGAGGAAGUCGUGGUAGUUCAAGAGUUGGUUCGAGUAGAGGUGGUCCGGGUGGAAGAGGAAGUUUUGGAGAUCGUUCUAGUAGGGGAGGCAGGGGUGCACCAACAAAAAGAGGUGGUGGCCCACCAGGUGCAAGUGGUCCUUCAAAGAGACCAAGAUUUGAUCAACCAUCCUCACAACCAUCUAAUGGCUAUGCAACCCAAGCUCCAAAUCAAGGCGGAUAUGGUGCUGCUGGAAAUGCCUAUGGUGGUGGCCAACAACAAGCACCGCAACAGCAACCAGUAGGAUAUGGUGGAGGUUAUGGAUCUCAACAGGGUUAUGCACAGUCAUAUCAAGGAUAUGAAAGCUAUCAACAGCCACCUGAUUAUGCACAAGCUGCGGGUUAUCCUCCAUCUGCACCACCUGAUAAUAGGUACGGAGGAGCUCCUGCUGUUCCAGCAACUGGAGCUUUUAAUACUGGUGAUCCUUAUAGUUAUGGCAAAGCUCCACCCUCAGCUAGUUACCAGCAGGAGGCAGUAGCAGCUGCAGUGGCAGGAGGUGGGGGUCCAGGUUAUGCUCCUGCUAACCCAUAUGAUGACAGAUCUUCUAAUGCUACCACCAUGAUCAACCGGGGUGGUUAUUCAACACAACCUUAUGAUUAUCCAAAUCAGGAUGGAGUGUACGGCAAACAGGAUUAUGGUUGAUAGCAGCUAUGCUAAGUACAACAUUGGUGGACCUGAGUGCAACAAUCGUGUCAACUGCCACAUGACUGGCAUCAACGUCAAUGACCUUAUCUACAUAAGGUUUCUGGAGAUGCAAAAAUGAAGAGGAACAUUCUUGGAAUUCACAAAGGAUGGAUUUAAUGAUGAAAAUUUGACAA
rnacentral:misc_RNA from 1 species